UUCAUAAACAACAUCAUCAUGUUCAACGAUUUGACAAGAAAAGAUUAGCUGGUAUUAUGAAUGAUGAUAAAAGACCUUCUUUAUCUCGUUUAUGG
rnacentral:ribozyme from 1 species